UGGGUACAAACAUUGCAUUGCAAUUUCACUUUUGUAUGAAAAAAUCAGUGACCAGCUUAAUGAUUUGGAGUAUCCGAAGCUUGAACUCUUGCAAAUUUGGGAUGAUCGUUGGUCACCAGGCCUUCCAAACAUCGUUUGUGAAGGGAUGAAAGAACUCAAAGUUCUAGCUUUGUUUUCGAGUGUCCCAUCACUGCCNNUCACUUGAUGUCCUGAGGAAUCUUCGAACUUUACGUCUUGGUGUAUUUAACGAAUAUUGGGGACGCGC
rnacentral:misc_RNA from 1 species